GAUGAACGCUGGCGGCGUGCCUAAUACAUGCAAGUCGAGCGAACGGACGAGAAGCUUGCUUCUCUGAUGUUAGUGGCGGACGGGUGAGUAACACGUGGAUAACCUACCUAUAAGACUGGGAUAACUUCGGGAAACCGGAGCUAAUACCGGAUGAUAUUUUGAACCGCAUGGUUCAAAAGUGAAAGACGGUCUUGCUGUCACUUAUAGAUGGAUCCGCGCUGCAUUAGCUAGUUGGUAAGGUAACGGCUUACCAAGGCAACGAUGCAUAGCCGACCUGAGAGGGUGAUCGGCCACACUGGAACUGAGACACGGUCCAGACUCCUACGGGAGGCAGCAGUAGGGAAUCUUCCGCAAUGGGCGAAAGCCUGACGGAGCAACGCCGCGUGAGUGAUGAAGGUCUUCGGAUCGUAAAACUCUGUUAUUAGGGAAGAACAUAUGUGUAAGUAACUGUGCACAUCUUGACGGUACCUAAUCAGAAAGCCACGGCUAACUACGU
rnacentral:rRNA from 1 species